rnacentral:rRNA from 1 species
UACGGGGGGGGCAAGCGUUGUUCGGAAUUACUGGGCGUAAAGGGCUCGUAGGUGGCCGACUAAGUCAGACGUGAAAUCCCCAGGCUCAACUUGGGAACUGCGUCUGAUACUGGAUGGCUUGAAUUCGGGAGAGGGAUGCAGAAUUCCAGGUGUAGCGGUGAAAUGCGUAGAUAUCUGGAGGAAUACCGGUGGCGAAGGCGGCGUUCUGGACUGCAACUGACACUGAUGAACGAAAGCCAGGGGAGCAAACGGG